GAAAGAUGCAGAGCUCUUGGAGCGGGUCCUGAGGAGGGCCACUAAGAUGAUCAGAGGGCUGGAGCACCUCUCUUAUGAAGAAAGGUUGAGUGAACUGGGCUUGUUUAGCUUGAAGAAGAGAAGGAUCUGGGGAGACCUCAUUGUGGCUUCCAGCACUUGAAGAUGACUCACACUACAGAAAAUGAGCUGUGUGAUUUGCACUUCUGGUUUGCCAGCUGGGACCCAGCCCAGAUCAUUUGUCUGCAUCAGGUGCUAUCAGCAGGUGUGUGCAGAAGCAGAGCGAGGAAGAGUAAAAUUUCCUGAAAAAUCUGAUGAACACCUGGAGGACUCACUAAGAAUUGCAGCCAAUUCCAUUGAACCAGACCAACGCAUUAGUUUCACAAAAACAAGCCCAGGACAAUUCCUCUUCACUCAAAGCAGCCCAGACAAGCCUAAGAGUUGGACACACGUGUUAUUGAAUUUCUGCUUGCUUCUAUUGCAACUGGCAAGAUGGUGCUUGGAGAAUUUUCUGCUACUGAAAACAGACUUCUCUUCCUCUUGGCUGCCGUACAUCCUUGCACCACACCUGGGAGUGACGUUGAUCACAUUCCCGUCUCCUGGCUGUGGAUCUGAAUGUUCCACCGUGUUAUCAUAAUGUGGACACUCAACUCAAGUCCCUGAGGUGAUAUUCUCCCCUUUCUCUUGGACAUAAGCAACAUGCCGUCAUUGAACUCUAGCAUCCUUUCUGUGUUUCACCCUUUCCCAAUCUGUCAAAAGUGGUCUCUGCGGUCUUAUGGAGAAAAGAGGAAGAAAAAAAUGGAAACUGCUCGGGAAAGUACUUUUGACCCAUUAUAACAUGUUCUUGGGAAGCUGAGGAGAGAUCAACUGAGCCAUGAUUCUCAUAGCAGGUGCUGCAGAGCAUUACUCAGUACUAGACGUGUGGCGUGGAGGCUUUACAAGUGACAAGCAGUGCAUGCGGACGACUCCAUCUCACUGGCUGUCCUCCUGACCGCACAUCCCAACGUGAG
ensembl:lncRNA